rnacentral:lncRNA from 1 species
UUGCAUAAAAGUCGAAAAAGAGGUUCGAAUCACCACAUAGGGUUCCAAUAAAAUCCUAGAAUAAAAACUUAGCUACUCAUGUUCGUAACGAAAAGCAUAAUAAAAAUACGAAAAUUCAUAAAAAUCAGAAAAGAAAAGGAAAAAGGAAAACUAGGAUGAAGAGUCGUCAAGUCUUCGUCUUCGUUCUCUUGCUCCUUGAUUGCGUGUCGAAAGAUGAAAGCUAAAAACUAAAAAUAAAGAUAGAUGGUAAAAGAUAGAUCUAAUUGUGUGCUCUUGGCCUUUAAAUAGGGUGCAAAAAUAUAAUAGGGCGGGUUUCCUUGUGUAAUUAAAAUUCCUUCACUGCGCCUUCACGUCCACCCGGACGGCCGUGUGAGAUUAUGCUUUAAAAUCCGCACGGCCGCGCGGGCUUUAAUUCUGCAGGAAAUCUGACUUUUUUCACUUUUGGCCCACUUUUUCUCUGAAUUUGCAGUUUUCACCCCAAAAGUUGUCAAUUCUUCAAUUUGCACCUAAAAUACAAAUAAUAACCAAAUUAAGCACCAAUUAUCGUAAAAACACACCAAAAGCUCCAAUUAAAAGGUAUAAUUAAGUGUAUAAAUCUACACUUAACACACCCCCAAACUUGAACUUUUGCUUGUCCUCAAGUAAAAUCAAAUCAAGAACACAAAUCAUGACAAUACAUCUCAUUACAUAGGUCGAUUGGUCAACUUCGUGUUUUCAGAACUUGCAAUUAUGAUGACAAUUCAUAAGUAUUCGCAAGCUUAACAUUCAACGGCACUUAGUCACUCACCAUUACCAAAAACCACAAAUCAUACAAUUGCUUCAAGUAUCCAAUAUUUGCAAGUUAAAGAUAGAAAGAAUUUGUACUUACAUGCAUAUAUUUGACUCCAAAUACUCACCAAAUUAUUUUACUCAACUAAUAUUGAACAAUAAGCUAUUGGAAUCAUUGGGACUUUGUGGCUUUCAAUUGUUAGGCUCUUUGGUCCGAGGUAGGUAAUAUGGGUAUAUGUGGCUAAUUUUCUUGAAUUGAGGUGAUUACGCCAAAAUUUGAAAGAUAGGCGUUUGAAACAAUGAAUUCACCUCUAGGGACUUAAAUAAACUCGAUUCUCCAAAAUUCACACGUCAACACUUUUGCCUUGAGGCAAUGGAUCGAGUUUUCAACACAACUCAACAACUAGUCCUUAUUUCUCCCUUCUAAUCUAUUCUUCUUCUUCUUUUUAUUUUUAUUUUUUUUUUUAUUUUUUUUUUAUUUUUUAAUCGAAGGAUUUAGAUAUAUAUAUAUAUAUGAAGAUGCACAUAUAUAUCUAUCCUUUUUCUUUUUCUCUUUUUUUUUUUUUUUUUUUUAUUUUUUUUUUAUUUUUUUAUUAUUAUUUUUUUUUUUUUUUUUUUUUAUUUUAUUUUUUUCGAAGAAGAAGAAAGAUCUUAUAAGAAUUUCUCGACGGACCUCCAAGGGAUGAUUAUUCAGAAAUCUCCACUUUUCUACCUUCUACAUAUUGGCUAAAAGAAAGAACACCUUUUUUCUCCGAGGCUCAAAUCAAGGUUCUAAGGAUAAAAAUUUAAAGGUAGGCUUGAAAGGCUCAAACGGUUCAAAGAAGGCCCAAAUCAUAUCCCAAAUCACUUAUUAUCAACACUUCGUAUCAUACCUGUCCUAAGGUGAGAUUUAAAACCGAACAAAGCAUGAUUGAGCACAAAUAAAUUCCAAAUUUAACAUGCAAAACAUUCAACCAAAGCAAAGCACAAGGUGUGAUUCCUAGCAAUAAUUCACUUCUACGUUCCGUUGAAUCGAAAGCUAAACAAAUACAUACUCCUUAUCAACAUAAAACAAGUAGUUUCAUCAUCAAACAUUGACCAUCUACCAUCAUCGUAAUUCAUCGAUGCAUCGAACAAAUUUUUUUUUUUUUUUUUUUUUUUUUUUUUUUUUUUUUAGAAUAAAACGAAAAUAAUAAAACGGCAACUAAAACAACAAACUAAAACAUGCACAAUAAAAAAAAUAAAACACACAUAAAGCACAUAAAUGAAAACAAGUAGUUAACCACCCCCAAACUUAAAAUUCACAUUGCCCUCAAUGUGAUUUGCCCGGAGUUUAAGGAUAGAAAACACCUGUUUUAAAUGUCGGGACCAUCGUCGGGAUUAUACGUGAAUUGAUGUGCAAAAUUCCCCCCAAACUUGACUUGGGCAAUUCGUCGAACACCUUGUGGGCGUUCUUGGUGGAGUGGGUUUGUGGAGAAAAUUGCACCUUUCUUGAAUCCCCCCUGCGCAAAUCAACAAGAAACCACCACGAUUAAGAAGUAUGUGUGUGUAAUUGGUGAAUUUUCGGUGAAUUUGGUCCAAGAAAAUUGAAAAUUUUGAAAAGAGGGGGGUAGGGUUCGAAGUGGAAGAGAGGGGAUUUGGGAAUUAUGGAAAUUGGGGUUUGGAAAAAACCCUAUUUAAUAUGCCCGGAUUUUUUUU